GUGCAAUUGAGCUCGGACGUCGCGUUCGGUUACUGAUGCUGCCCGGAAACGGGAUGUGCUCGCAAUCGGACGCGGUGUCCCUUCUCUAUCCACCCCACUGUGAACCAAGCGUGCGAGCCAGUAAAGAGGGGGGAGACCCCUUCCGAAAGCUUGCAUGCAAACCUAUAACAUACCCCAAAGAAGUAUCAGAAUGUAACUUGCGUUAACUCGCACAUAUAUAACUUUCAACAACGGAUCUCUUGGCUCUCGCAUCGAUGAAGAACGCAGCGAAAUGCGAUAAGUAAUGUGAAUUGCAGAAUUCAGUGAAUCAUCGAAUCUUUGAACGCACCUUGCGCCCCUUGGCAUUCCGAGGGGCACGCCUGUUUGAGUGUCGUGAACUCCUCCACUCCCCGCUUUUCUUUACGAAUGGCGGUGCGAGCUGGGAUUUGGGAGCUUGCGGGUCCCUGGCCGAUCCGCUCUCCUUGAAUGCAUUAGCAGAGCCCUCGCGGCCUUGGUGUGAUAGUAAUCUACGCCUCGGCUUAGCGCA
rnacentral:rRNA from 1 species